AUGAAAAACUCUUUUAUUGGCCCUAUUUUUCUUUCCCCUGCGUUUCACUUGAUCGAUUUUGCUUUUGAAAUCAGCAACAAUAACUUCUUUACAACAGUGUUUAGAAAUACUGAGGCCAAGCAAUUCCAAAACAUUGCUAACAAGGGAAAUUCUGUGAUAGCGAUAAAAACCAUAAUCAUAUACAAUCUACUCAUGUCUAUGGAUCCUUCAUGA